CAAUAGCGUAUAUUUAAGUUGUUGCAGUUAAAAAGCUCGUAGUUGGAUUUCGGAUGGGACUUGCCGGUCCGUCGUUUCGAUGUGCACUGGCCAGGCCUAUCUUGUUGUCGGGGACUAGCUCCUGGGCUUCACUGUCCGGGACUAGGAGCUGACGAGGUUACUUUGAGUAAAUUAGAGUGUUCAAAGCAAGCCUACGCUCUGAAUACAUUAGCAUGGAAUAACACGAUAGGACUCUGGCUUAUCUUGUUGGUCUGUGAGACCAGAGUAAUGAUUAAGAGGGACAGUCGGGGGCAUUCGUAUUUCAUUGUCAGAGGUGAAAUUCUUGGAUUUAUGAAAGACGAACUUCUGCGAAAGCAUUUGUCAAGGAUGUUUUCAUUAA
rnacentral:rRNA from 1 species